AGCAGCCGCGGUAAUUCCAGCUCCAAUAGCGUAUAUUAAAGUUGUUGCAGUUAAAAAGCUCGUAGUUGAAUUUCGGGAUCGAAUUGUUGGUCGUGCUUCGGUACGUACUGGCAUUAUUGGUUCCUACCUUCUGAAGAACCGCGAUGUCAUUAAUUUGGUGUCGUGGGGAAUCAGGACUGUUACUUUGAAAAAAUUAGAGUGUUUAAAGCAGGCUUACGCUUGAAUACAUUAGCAUGGAAUAAUGAAAUAGGACGUUUGAUUCUAUUUUGUUGGUUUCUAGGAUCGACGUAAUGAUUAAUAGGGAUAGUUGGGGGCAUUAGUAUUCAAUUGUCAGAGGUGAAAUUCUUGGAUUUAUUGAAGACUAACUACUGCGAAAGCAUUUGCCAAGGAUGUUUUCAUUAAUCAAGAACGAAAGUUAGGGGAUCGAAGACGAUCAGAUACCGUCGUAGUCUUAACCAUAAACUAUGCCGACUAGGGAUCGGAUGAUGUUAAUUUUAUAAUGACUCA
rnacentral:rRNA from 1 species